rfam:Sus scrofa chromosome 5.
CAAAAAUAUUAUAUUUUUUCUAUAAAAAGGGAAAAAAUGGAAAAAAAUAC